rnacentral:lncRNA from 1 species
UUUCAAGACCUGAAAUGUAAAGACUUGAAAAAUAUUCCCCUCGUUAUACAGGUGGAUGCCUAUUUAUCUAUAGCAUGAAAAAUAUUCCUAUUAUUAUACAGGUGGGCACCUAUUAUCUAAAGAUAUGAAAAAUAUUUCUCUUGUUAUAUAGGUGGGCACUAUUUAUCUAAAACAUGAAAAGUAUUCCUCUUAUUAUACAGGUGGGUGCCUAUUAUCUAAAAACAUGAAAAAAUAUUCCUCUUGUUAUACAUGUGGGCGCCUAUUUAUCUAAAGACAUGAAAAGUAUUCCUCUUAUUAUAUAGGUGGGUCCUAACUUCAUUAACAACUAUAAAAAUAAAAUGCAUUUGGCAAUGAUAUAAGAAAUAUAUAUUUUGGCAAUGUUUAUACAAGAAGGACCAUUCGGGUCGAAAUAAAUUAAAUGUCCUUUUGAGGAAGGAUUCACUUCAAUAUCCUAUUCGAGGGCGGAUAGACCCAUCGUAUCCUAUGCGAGGGUGGAUAGACCCAUCGUAUCCUAUUUGAGAGCGUUUAGAACCAAGUAUAUCCUAUUCGAAGGCGGAUGAACCCAAAUUAUCCUAUUCGAAGGCUGAUGAACCUAAAUUAUCCUAUUCGAAGGCGAACGAACCUAAAAUAUCCUAUUCGAAGGUGGAUGAACCUAAAAUAUCCUAUUCGAAGGCGGAUUAACCUAAAAUUAUCCUAUUCAAAGGCAGAUGAACCUAAAAUAUCCUAUUCGAAGGCGGAUGAACCUAAAAUUAUCCUAUUCGAGAGAAGAUGAACCUAAAAUAUACUCUUCGAAGGUGGAUGAACCUAAAAUUAUCCUAUUCGAGGGCGGAUGAACCCAAAUUAUCCUAUUCUAAGGCGGAUGAACCUAAAAUAUCCUAUUCGAGGGCGGAUGAACCCAAAUUAUCCUAUUCAAAGGCGGAUGAACCUAAAAUAUCAAAGGCGGAUAAACCUAAAAUAUCCUAUUCGAAGGAGGAUGAACCCAAAAUAUCCUAUUCGAAGGCGGAUGAACCUAAAAUAUCCUAUUCGAAGGCGGAUGAACCUAAAAUAUCCUAUUCAAGGCGGAUGAACCUAAAAUAUCCUAUUCGAAGGCGGACAAACCUAAAUUAUCCUAUUCAAGGGCGGAUGAUCCUAAAAUAUCCUAUUCAAAGGCGGAUGAACCUAAAAUAUCCUAUUCGAAGGUGGAUGAACCUAAAAUUAUCCUAUUCGAAGGCGGAUGAACCUAAAUUAUCCUAUUCGAAGGUGGAAAAACCUAAAGUAUCCUAUUCGAGGGCGGAUGAACCUAAAUAUCCUACUCGAAGGCGGAUGAACCUAAAAUUAUCCUAUUCGUGGGCGGAUGAACCCAAAACAUCCUAUUCAAAGGCAGAUGAACCUAAAAUAUCAUAUUCGUAGGCGGAUGAACCUAAAAUUAUCCUAUUCGAGGUCGGAUGAACCCAAAUUAUCCUAUUCGAAGGCGGAUGAACCUAAAAUAUCCUAUUCGAGGUCGGAUGAACCUUAAAUAUCCUAUUCGAAGGCGGAUGAACCUAAAAUAUCCUAUUCGAAGGCGGAUGAGCCUAAAAUAUCCUAUUCGAAGGUGAAUGAACCUAAAAUAUCCUAUUCGAAGGCGGAUGAACCUAAAAGUAUCCUAUUCGAAGGCGGAUGAACCUAAAUUAUCCUAUUCGAAGGUGGACAAACCUAAAGUAUCCUAUUCGAGGGCGGAUGCAGCCAAAAUAUCCUAUUCGAAGAUGGACAAACCUAUAAUAUCCUAUUUGAGGGCGGAUGAACCCAAAAUAUCUUAUUCGAAGGUGGACAAACCUAUAAUUAUCCUAUUUGAGGGCGGAUGAACCCAAAUUAUAUUAUUCGUAGGCGGAUGAACCUAAAUUAUCCUAUUCGAAGGAGGAUGAACCUAUAAUUAUCCUAUUCGAGGGCGGAUGAACCCAAAUUAUCCUAUUCGAAGGCGGAUGAACCUAUAAUAUCCUAUUCGAAGGUGGACAAACCUAAAGUAUCCUAUUCAAGGGCGGAUGACCUCAAAUUAUCCUAUUCGAAGGCGGAUAAACCUAAAAUAUCCUAUUCGAAGGCGGAUGAACCUAAAAUAUCCUAUUCGAAGGUGGAUGAACCUAAAAUAUCCAAUUUGAAGGCGGAUAAACCUAAAAUUAUCCUAUUCGAGGGCGGAUGAACCCAAAUUAUCCUAUUCGAAGGCGGAUGAAUAGAAGGCGGACAAACCUAUAAUAUCCUAUUCCAAGGCGGAUGAACCUAAAAUAUCCUAUUCGAAGGUGGAAAAACCUAUAUCUAAAUAUCCUAUUCGAAGGUGGACAAACCUAUAAUAUCCUAUUCGAGGGCGGAUAGACCCGUUUUCAAAAUUUGAAAUUAUCUUACUUCCGAUUGUAUCUCUUAAAAUUUUGCUGUCGUGCUAUCCCUUAAAGCUUGAAUUGAUUUCCUCGUUCCUCCGAGAAAAUUUUCGAAAAUGGCAGAAAAUUUUCUGCCCCAGUUUUGGUGCUCUUCCUUGUGGCAUGUUUUUUCGCCAUUAAUAAUAUUUCCUUUUCCUGCUUCAAAUCAAAGAAAAUUUGUUAGUGUUAAAACUUGGUGAGUGGUCGUGCCACUCCUGCUGGGGAUGGUUUUUCCCUUACUCCCUUCCCCGCUUUGUGUUUCAUUAUGCUAUCAAAGCUUGCAGGGGAUGAAUUUUCCUUUUCUUCCUUCCCCGCUCUGUGUUGUCCGACCCUCUUGGAAAUUGGUCGCAAAAUCUAUUGGGUAUGCUCCUACAUCUCGAUUAUCUGCUUGGGACCCUCUUGGAAUAUGGUCCACAAUUUUCUCAACUGUUGUUUUCCUGUUUUUCUCCAUAUUUCCUUGACAUUUUAGAUCAAUACAUUAUUUGACCUUGCAACAAACCUCUUUUUGCCUUGUCUCUGGCCUGUCCUCUUCCCAUUUUUCUUUGUACCAUUUUGGCAACUGGUAGUAAGCUCUGAAAGAUCUUUCUCAAAAAUAAAUUUCUGAAAAAAGUCUUUUAAACAAAGAAAUGAAAAGGUAGAAAAAGAGAAAAUCUUUCUGAACAAAUGCUGGGGAAAAGAAAAUAAAGGAACUUAUCUGGGUGGUAUAACCGAUCCAAACGACCAGGUCGUGCAUUCCGGAUUAAUCAACACAGUUUAUUUGUAUCAAUCAAUCUUUCUGAUGUCUUGAUGGGGAUAAACAGGUUCCCAAAUCCUCGAAAAUGCGGAUCCCUUCCGCCAAUCUUAUCUCGUCGCCUCAUAGUGCCCUUCGAGGGAUUUUCACUAAUAAGACUCUCUCAUUUUGCUUCUGUCAUCUUACGUCGCCUUAUGGUACCUGUGAAGGUUUGCACCGACAAGACUCUCUCAUUUUGUUUCUCUCGGCUUUCAUCACCUAAUGGUGCCUAUGAAGGUUUUCACCGAUAAGACUCUCUCAUUUUAUUUUCUCAGUUGGGGAUUGGAGUGUUACCGAUAAGAUUCUCUCUGCUGGGAAUUCUUUUGGCUAUCCNNNNNNNNNNNNNNNNNNNNNNNNNNNNNNNNNNNNNNNNNNNNNNNNNNNNNNNNNNNNNNNNNNNNNNNNNNNNNNNNNNNNNNNNNNNNNNNNNNNNNNNNNNNNNNNNNNNNNNNACUCAUGAUCCUCAUUUAGUCGGGGACCAGCGUGUUAUUCUCAGCUUUUAUUUGUCUGUCUUGGCACCUAUCGUAUACUGAUCGGGAUGUCUUUUUUGGACAUCAAUAUGGGUUUUAUGUGGGGAUUAAAAGAAAAGGAGAUAAAAAUUCAAAAUAACUUUUGUGGGUAAAACAUUACAACUCUUGGAAUUAAAACUCUUUUCAAAAUUUAAAAACCUAACUUCUGCCCCAGUUUUCUUGCUUGGGGGGGGGGGAGAUUUUUUAUUUUUGUGACACUUUGUCACACUAUGACCGAGUCGUGAGGCGCCUACGUAUCCUUUUUGAGCAGUCAGGUCAAACGUAGUUCGCUUGAUUCCUUUCUAUUUCUUGUGACUUUCCCUUUUGUUUUUUAUUACUUUUUUUUCUUUUUUUUUUCUUUUUUUUCUUUUCUCUUUUUUUAAGUACUUUCAUUAGUGAUUCCAAUAGAGGGGUAUGAAAUAAUAAAUAAAGCUCAAAGGGGGAAGCAAAGGUUAAAGGUUUUGGAUAGUAGAAAAAAUUGCCUUCGUCGUUUCAUUCUCCGAUAAAUGCCAAGCACCAACAAACAAACAACCAACAAUUAUAAUUAAAGAAAUUACAUAUGAUAUUUCUUAAGUGCGUCAGAAUUGAUAACCAUGUCGAUGCAUCUUCCCUCGACAUCUGUCCGACAUAAAGCACCAUUGGAUAACACCCUGGUCAUAAUAAACGGCCCUUGCCAAUUCAGGGCGAAUAUGCCCUUUGCUUCGGCUUGAUGUGGCAAGAUUCGCUUCAACAUUUGCUGCCCCAAUUCAAACUUUCUGGGACACACUUUCUUAUUAUAUGCUCUUGUCAUCCUCUUUUGAUACAAUUGGUCAUGACAUAGUGUUGUCAAUAUCUUUUCAUCAAUCAAGCUCAACUGCUCUAAUCGGGCUCUGACCCAACCGGGAAGACAAUCUGGAGGGAUAGAAUUUUAACUUCUGCUGGUAUCACUGCUUCAGUUCCGUAUACCAACGAAUAAGGAGUUGCACCUCCUGAAGUACGAAUAGUAGUGCGAUAACCCAACAAUGAAAAUGACAACUUUUCAUUCCAUUGCCUGGACCAUUCUUCCUCAAUAUCUUCUCUAUGUUCUUGUUGGCUGCCUCAACCGCUCCAUUCGGGUUUUGACCCACUCAUUAUCAUUAAUAUGCCUCUUGUAUUAUUAGCUCAUAAUUAGAUUGAUUUUUUAGACUAAGUUGAAGAUCCAUCGUGCAUGCCAUGUCAUUAGAAUCAGUAUCAAGAGGACUGUUCAGAAAGAGAAAAAGAAGAAAACAAAAUUAAAACAAAAUAAAAAGAUAAAACUUUCACUUUAUUAAACUGUGGGAUAAACAGAGUUUCAAACUUUUCCUGAAUAUAAAAUAAAAGAAAAAAUGGAUUACAACCUUGAAAUAAUCCAGACAAAAAUAAAGAAAAAUCAGAGCCCACUACUAAGACACCCUCCGGGCAGGAAGAGGAGUAGCCUUCCAAUUGUAUUGGCCCUAAUCACCACAAACUGUGCAUAUUCCCCACUGGACCCUUUUCCCAAUACCAUAACUUGCUUAUCAUCUACCUUUUCAAACUAUACCACCACUUUUCCACUGGUCGAGUUUUCUUUUGAACCAGCACGGAUCAUCAUCACUGUUUGUGAGGGUUUCUUUAGCUCCCCUCCUUCAUGCACUAGAUAGAUUAUGUGGGCUUCAUGGUGUGCCGGCAAUGUGUUCUGAUUGAUGUUGGGUGCCUCUGGUGUCUGAACCUCAAUCUUGUUGGUGUCAAUAAGAUUUUGCACUGCAUGUUUUAAUUCCAACACUUCUCGGUAUCGUGUCCGGGAGCCCCCGAAUAAUACUCACAGCUUACCGAUUGGACCAUAUUUUUGGGAAGGGGAUUUGGCAAUUUGGGCUCAACAGGACUCAACAAGCCUAACUGCCUUAGUUUUUGGAACAAGGCAGUAUAGGUUUCUCCCAACUCAGUUAAUGUUCUUGCCCUCGAACAAUACUCACAGCUCAUCGAGUGGUCCGUAUAUUUGGGAAGGGGAUUUGGCAAUUUGGGCUCAAUAGGACUCAACAAGCCUAACUACCUUAAUUUGUGGAACAAGGCAUCAUAGGUUUCUCCCAACUCAGUGAAUGUUCUAUGUACCCUUUCAUUUGUGAAAGCCUGAUUCCCACGGAAACCAGGCCCUAAAGGGUUCCUGUAGGCCCUUGGUGCUGGAUAUGUAUUCUGUGGAGGUAGAUAUGUGUUUUGGGGAGCCGGCGUGCGCCAUUGCGGGCGUGCCGAAGGCUGAGUGUAUGUUUGGGCUUGAUGGACGAAGAAGUGUGUUUCUUGUGGUGGGUAGUAAGGUUGUGGAUGGUAAUUUGGAGUGCGUAGGUAAUUUGGGUGAUGGGGUCUGGAUUGGUAAAUGAGGGGAAUGACCUCUAGAUUUGGACCAGUUGCCUGCCUCUAUUGUCGCAACCUCUUCUCUAUUUUUCUUUCCAAGCGCACCUCUAAUGCCGCUCUGAAUGGCUUGAGUGGUUGCUUUAAUCUCCGAAUAGCUUAGGAUCUUGUUGGACUUAAGUCCCUGUUCAAUCAUACCACCCAUUUUCACUACCUCGUUGAAGGAUUUGCCAACCGAUUUCACCAAGUGACCAAAGUAAGUUUCUAGAGUUUGCAGAAAGUAGUCCACCAUUUUCCCCUCUCUCAUCGGAGGAUCAACUCUGGCUGCGUGUUCUCUCCAUCGGAACCCAAAUUCUCGAAAGCUCUCCCCGGGCUUCUUCUCAAGCUUUAGCAAUGUGAGACGGUCCGGGACUAUGUCAAGGUUGUACUGGAAGUGACCUGCGAAAGCCUAUGCUAGAUCGUCCCAGGUGUACCACCUACUCGGAUCUUGUCUUACAUACCACUCCUGUGCCGACCCACUCAAACUCUGGCCUAAGUAAGCUAUCAGCAACUCGUCUUUGCCUCCUGCUCCCCUCAUCUUGCUACCAAAACCCCGCAGAUGUGCCAUAGGAUCACCUUGCCCUUCGUAUAAAUCGAACUUGGGCAUCUUGAACCCUGCCAGUAAUAGGACGUCAGGGAAAGGGCAUAGAUCCUUGUAGGCCACACUGACCUGGUUUCCUAACUCGUGCACGUUCCUGAAGGAUUGAUCCAGACUUUUAAAUUUCCGCAUCACCUCGUCCUGCUUUGGGCUCUUAGCCGGCUUUUCAAUCUCCGUCGGGACCUCAAAGUGGGGAUUAUAGGUAUGUGGAUCGGAUGCUUUGAAUGUGAGUUCAGGAGGGUAAUAUUGUGUAUCGUGAGUCUGAAACAACAACUCACUCGACGAUCUGUGCAAUGGGGCGGGGGAAGGCGCCACAAAUACGGGAACAUUUGGUGGAGGAGGAUUUCUAUUGGGUGGUGGAGCUUGGGGAUCAUAGGCAUCUCUUCCCUGAUAGUAGUGAUGGCCUUGGAAGCUUGUUGAGGGGCCGGGGGAAAGGUAUUCCAGCGUGUGUCCUGGUUGGAGAGUAGGAUUAACGGGCAGUUCAGACCCCUUUUGUGCUCUAGCCAAGGCUAGUUGCAUUUCAUUCAUUUCCAACCUCAUUUUUUCCAUUUUUUCCAUGGCUUCCUUCAACGUCUGAUUUGUCGUUUUUUCCGAUUCAACACUGUUGUCUGAGCCAGUCAUGCUUUCUGGAAUGGGCCCUUUUGAUCUUGUUUGAUAAUGGUACGGUGCCAUUACUCUCUAACAAACUACCUGGUACUAGAAUGAAAAAACAACAAACUUGUUAGCAUUAAAGUUUCAACAGAUAUUGCAAUUGCACGUUGGGGGAUGCAAUGUUCUUAGGCAAUAAACCAUUUCUAGCAUAUUUUUGCUUCGACCGCAUGCAUUGUCCCGGCUUAUUUUAUUUUCCUCUUUCAAGUGUUUCAGAAAACCUCUCUUUUUCUUCUUCUCUCUUUCUUUCAGGUUUCUCACACUUCUUUUCUCUUAUUCACUUUCUCUUUUUAUUUUUUAACGGUGAUUGAAUCUUAGGUGGAUUGCCUAGGUAUCAUGUCCCCGAUGAAUCAGACCAGGCGUAGUUCGUGUAAGUGCAAGGUAAAAAAACAAUAAAACAUAUUUUGAAAUUUUUAAUUUUUCACAGUAAAACACAAUUUGAUUACAAUGAUUAAAAAAAUUGGCAAACUUAGACCGAACUAAUAGACUUUGGUGAAAGAACUAACAGACUUGAACAUAAAAGAACCAACAUACUCUAACCAAAAAAAUACAAAUUUAAGAAUAGACUAACAAAUUCCUUCCCCUAUAUGCCAAGUUUAACCAAAUGACUAUUUUUUGCAAACAUGGCGCCUUCUCAAUUUCACAUGAAUUUUGAGGCCGGGAAGGAUUUUUUUACAAACUUGUCCGUUCUUUUACGAAAAUAGCCUUUCGACAACUGAAAGAUACUCUAAGGCUAUCUCGGCAAGAACGGUUUAAUACACUGCCGAAGCUGGCUCGGGUUAUUUUGACCAAAAAUUCAAACGACAUUCACUUGCCCACUGACUCUUUCCUUAUUUUUAAAAGUUACAAUAAAAUACUGGGUUUUGCAAACACGGACUUUCAUCACCUCGGGGAUGAAGAUUUUAAAGUUGCAUUAGCUAACAGGCCAAAAUCCUAAAACAAUGACUUUUGGCAAGAAUGGCUUAAGACAUUGCCAAAGCCGGCUUGGCUUAUUUUGACCAAAAAUUCAAACGACAUUCACUUGCCAACUGAUUUUUUUUUUCAAAUUAAAAUAAAAGGCCAGAUUUUGCAAAGACGGUCUUUCAGCACUUCGGGGACGAAGAUUUUAAGGAUGUGUGGGUCAACUGGCCAAAAUCUAAAAAAUGACCCCAAGAUGGAUGUUUAUGCAAAGUUAGCUUUCCGGCGUCCCUUUUGGGAACAUUCGGCUAUGUUUGGCAAAAGAUAGCGUCACCCGACUUCAUUAUGAUGAAAAUAAAAUUUUGACAAUUUUUGCUAUUUUUUGCAAAUGGGAGGUUGGACCCGAUGAGGGUUGACCACGUAUCUCACAUCCGAUGAGAAUCAAAUUAGCGUUGUUCGGGCAAAUUACACGAACUAUUUUUAAAACAAGACUCAUUUUCAUUUUCAUUUUUGGCAUUUCAUAAGCAAAUAACAAAACCACCUUCAAAGCAUGACUCUUUUCAUUUUAAUUUUGGACAUUUCAUAAAUAAAUAAAAUAAAUAAACUAUUUUUAAAAAAACAAGACUCUUUUUUUUCGUAUUCAUUUUUCUGGCAAGAUAAACUAUUUUUUUUUAAAACAAGAUAGAAUAAUGACUCUUUUUUUUCUUUUCAAAAACCAAUUUUCCAAAAAUAAAAAUAAAUUUUUUUUUCUAUUUUUCCUUUGCUUUUAAUAAAAAAACUAUUAAAAAUAAGGUAUUUUUUUCUCAAAAUUUCGGUAGAGUUCCGACUGUACUUGUACAUUGGUUUUUUUUAUCUAAAUUAAUCAUCUAACUCUCUAACUGUUAUUUUUCUCUUUUUCUCUUUUUCUAAAUUUUCCAAAAUUUUCUAACAUUCCCGUGAUUCAGAAGCCGGUCAACAUGCGGGCCCGAGACAAAUAAAUGCACGGAAAAUAAAUAAGAUGCAUCAGGAUGGUCUUUUCAUUUCAGGUUGCUAGUCCUACACGGACCCAACCCCUGUGUUGAGUCCCCUAAGUCAAAUGCAACCUGAUGCAAAUAAGUGUUCCUAUUAGGGAUCCGACAUGAAAUUUUGUUAUACUAGGUUUUAAACUUGGGUUUUUGUUCUAGACCUCGCUUACCCAAGCGGACAACUCGAGUCGAAGAGGGGGAAACUUUUCGGGAACCAAAAGGCCAUCCGGCUUAGUAACUUGUCCGAGCCUCUUUUUAUUUCAGGGUAUGACACUAACAGAAAAGGGAGUCUCAACCAGUAAGCACAUCCCCGAAGGUGAAAAGAGAAGGGUUCGGCAUAGUUUAUAUAUACAGUCAAUAAUAUCAAAGCGGUAACAAAAUAUCAUUUGCACAUUAAGCACAUAUCACAUGAAUAUAUCAGAUAAUAAAGAAAAAAUAUAAUAGUUUAUCAUAUGCUCGAAUUUCUACCCCUGAUCCAGUGGUCCUGGGUUGUUGUACCCAGCAGAGUUGCCAGAGCUGUCACACCUCCUUUUUCGCGCCGCGCAAGGGAGUUUUUUCCAAUUAAAGGACAAUCGAAACGAGAUUUAUUAUUAAGAUUCAGAGUCUCCACUUGAGAGAUUUGUGGUGUCCCAAGUCACCGGUUUUAAUCCCGAAUCGAGGAAAAGAAAGACUCUGUUUAACAAUCUGUGCACUAGAAAUCCAGAUAAGGAAUUCUGUUAAUCCGGGAGAAGGUGUCAUGCAUUUCCGAGUUCCGUGAUUCUAGCACGGUCGCUCAACUGUCAUAUUCGACUUAAUUAUCUGAUUUCAACAAUUAUGAACUUAUAUUCAAAUUUUAAAUUCUAACCGUCUAUUAUUGUUAUUAUUAUUUUGAAAGACUUGCAACGUCGUGACAAUACAUCUCGAACCACGUUACAAUCAAUGUACCCGUGGUUGUUGAUACAUAUCGACUCCGUUGAAAUUUUGAUUUAGGUCACAUAAAUGAACACCCGAGUUUAGGGAGGUAAUGUUAUUUAAAGUACGCGCCUAAUAGAGUGUAACACAUUGUAGUCUUUUGGGAAGGCCGUGAAAUUUACUAAACAGUCCUUCCCAAUUUUCUAAAUAUUUUUAAAACUCUAUCGAGGUCCCCGCAAUUUGUGCAUUUUUAUUUGGCGAGGCACGCUUCAUUUAUUUUAAAGGGUAAUCCUAGAGUGAUUACAUUUUUCUAUUUAACUUCGUCUCUAAAAAUAAAAGAGAAAAUUCCUAAUUAAUUACAUGCUUAAAAGGCUACUCUAUAUUAGUACAAAAGGUGUUCCCUCACAAGCCGACUAAACGACAAAUUUAUUCUACAAAUUAUAGAACUAACUGCAAUUUGACAAAAACUAAUAAAACAGAAAAUAACAACAAAUAUUAAUCAACAACUUACUUUUCUAUUUCAUUUCAACUUUCAACUUCCAAUUCGAGUUUACGUCAACACAUGAUUUUUAAAAUGUGUACCUGGUAUUGAAAAGACGAGGAAUAUGGAAAUCAAUAGGGCGGUAAAAGUAUAACAACAACAACAGUAACAACAAGCAGUAGCUUCAAGACCUCAAUCCAGAAAAUCCCACCAAUACAGAGAAAAGCUAGAAAAAUAGAGAAGAAAAAUAUUCCGGAAAUAUCUCUUUGUUUUCUCUUUCUAGCUUUGAACUCUCUUCAACUCUCAAAAGAAACUCUCAAAAAUCAAAUUCUGUCGUGUAUACUGCUGUGUCCAGAAUGUAUAUCGAGUGUAUACUGCUGAAACUCCAAAGACUAAAUUCUGUCCGUGUAUACUGCUGUAUCCAGAGUGUAUACUGCUCUCUUUUCUCCCUUAUUUUUCUUCUCCUCCUAUUUUUUCCUCUAUUCCCU